GUGUGACCUAGCCGUCGCUCCUCCCGCACUCGCGCCUCCCCCGCCUCGCCUCUCUCUCUCCCGCGCCUCCCAGCCCCGCCGCCGUCGUCUUCUCGCCCAGCCGGCCGCCGCCGCACGAUGCAGCGCCCAGAUCCACGGCGGGAUCGACGCGGCGUCGUUGACCUGAGCCACUACCGUCGUCGAGGUCCUCCCACCCCCUCUCGCCGUCGCGCCUUCCCCUCCUCCUCGUCCUCUCGCUGCUCAGCAGGAGGAGCACGGCUCGCCGCCGGUUCUCACACGCCGCUUCCCUCCUCCGCCCCUCCCUCGAGCCGCUCCUCACCCACCCACCACGGUCACCUCUCCUCCGACCACGCCGCCGUGCUGCGCGACGCCGAGUGGGCGCCCGCCCUCCCCGUCCCGCGACGGCCGAGAUCCAGUUCGUCGCCAUCGGCCUGAGAAGCGCUUGGGCCGCUGCUCCCCAUCGAGCCUGCGUGUGCGACGCAUCUGAUGGCCAACACAGCCGUGUACAACUCUGCUGCCUCCAGCUCGAGCGCCCAUCUCCACUAUGUCCAGGUUGCCGCUGUCGCGGAGUUGGAUGAGGUCAUGGCUUAGUUGACGAGGUCAACAACUAAUAGAGGUUUGUUUUUGAAAACUCCUAGGGCAAAGUUAAGCAAAUUGUUGGCUCUACUCUCCGGGAUGCAUCGAAUGAUGGCACGACACGGGUGACAAAAGUCUCCAUCAGAAUUUGCAAAUAUUUACAAAGAUGGACUGGUUGGUGGGCAUGUCAUAAUGCUUGGCGGAGACCCUGCAAGCUGCUAUGCUGCCCUGGAAGCACUCCUCUUCCUGCCUCACCACCUGUUCAGGAACCGUAUCAUAAGUGGCGCCUUCUUCCACGAACAGUUGCGGUGCUCGCUGUCGGCGUCAGACUCCCAAGCAAGUGAGGAUGACCACGACGCAGAGGAGGACGAGGACCCGAGCUCGAUUCCGACCACGACGCACCGCACAAGAUCCCUGCUUCCUUCCUGACGGCAAUGGAUCCCUUCCUUGCAGUUGCCUGGGUUGCUGACGAGAUCCAUCUGCCCGGCUGGAGCCUGUUAUUCUCUUGAUGGAAGUCAGCCCAAUUGUAGUUCAGACGGUGCCGUGCCGUUGGGGUUGCCUUGCCAGUCGACCGGAGAUGGAGCUUAUCGUUUGAGCCUCUGCCCUCCCCGUCGAGGUUGCUCCUCACCAUCGCAGGCACGGUCUGGUCGGGGCCACGACGACGAGAGGAGCAGCAGAGGAUAACUUUUCCCCACGGAUCCUUCUCGUCUUCCACGUGAUUCGAGUCGCCUCUCUCCGUCAGAUCCUGCACGGACCUCCCUGUCAGGCCCCUCUUGCCGCCCGUCGACACGUCCUUCGAUCUUGUUGUGUUGAUCAUGGGGACCAUUCCAUUUGAAGAGGCUCAUGCUGCCCGGAUUUCAUUAAGCAAGCCAUCUAUGUCCCAAAGUUGAGGACCGUUUGGAGAAGAGGCCACCCAGGUAAGCUUAUCCAAGCUCAAACAUUAAUUUAAUCACUAUUUAGUUGCCGUACUUGCGUUCCUAGAUGGAUCUUUUGAGAUUCCACAACUUUGAAAUUCUUACUUGGGAUCAUUUGAUAUGUGCCCUUGAAAAUAACAGAACGGAUCAUUCCUAGAUGAAUUCUUAGCUGAUUUCACUGGGCUUCUCCCUUUACGCUAAUAUGAAAUAUAUUAGCUGCAGUAUAUAGUCUAGGUUCAUUUUAAUGCGACUAAAUGAGAUAAAAAUACUACCUGCUUAUACCACUCGAGUAUCCACCGUUAGGACGUUAUGUUCCCUGCAAACACAACAUAACCUUUUUGACUUAUUAUCCCUAAAAAAAGCUGACUCUUUUUCACAAGCUGAAAAGACAAUCUGAUCUGCCACAUUUGGUCUGAAAUUUUCUUCUUGUGUGUCCACAUGAUAAAGAGGAUGCCUUUGAUCAAUUGUAAAUCACUUAUUUUUCUAGGAUAUAUAGAUUUCUUGAAUUACCCACAAUAUACUUUUAUGUCAUCUAAUAUAUGUCUCCCAGACAAUUUAAACAGAUGCAGGAUAUGAUUAGGCGCACAUAUACAAGUAUCUUUAUGACGACACGUGCACCAGUUUUCAUUGUUAUUGUUCUUGCCUGUUGCCUCCCCCCCCUAUCGCUUCGCUAGGUGAGAGACCCCUCUCCUUUCCUGUUAGAAAAUACCAAGUAUUUGCAAUGCUUGAUUGUUAUGCCAACUUUUCUUAGAACCUUGGUGCAUGGGCCAUACAGCGAUCUCCAUACUACAAUUUAGAAUUAUAAGAAAUUGCAUCCUCUAUUUAUUUAGGAAUCUAGGUUUGUAUUUUUCUGAUUUGGUUUUUGCUUUCUGGUCAUUUGGUACCGUGCGCCAUGAUGUACUUCCUGUCUAUCAUGCUUGGGUUUGUAGCUUUGUGGAGACAUGGAACCGAAGUCAUGAGGUGGACAUUAUCAUUUUGUUAGACUGGGUGUGGAAUUGCAAGUUACUCCAUUGGCAACCACAUACAGACCCGCACCAACUAUCCAUGCUCUAAGUCAGUCUGUUAGGGGAAAAUCAAAGGCAUGUGGGCACCUGAUCUAUUUGUAACAUCGACAUGUGAUGUGUGCAACUAAAAAAAUGUUAGGCUAUGAUAGCAAUUCUUUUCAACACAUGUUCUCAUACAUUCUGGAUAUACUUCCUGCUAAAAUGACAUAUAUAUUUUCUUUUACAUGUCGCCUUUA